UACGGGGGGAGCAAGCGUUGUUCGGAUUUACUGGGCGUAAAGGGCGCGUAGGCGGCCAGCACAAGUCAGUUGUGAAAUCUCCGAGCUUAACUCGGAACGGUCAACUGAUACUGUGCGGCUAGAGUGCGGAAGGGGCAACUGGAAUUCUUGGUGUAGCGGUGAAAUGCGCAGAUAUCAGGGAGGAACACCGGUGGCGAAGGCGGAUCUCUGGGCCGUAACUGACGCUGGAGGAGCGGAAAGCCAUGGGGAGCGAACAGG
rnacentral:rRNA from 1 species